UACGUAGGGGGCAAGCGUUGUCCGGAUUUAUUGGGCGUAAAGAGCGUGUAGGCGGCCGUACAGGUCAGCUGUGAAAACUCGAGGCUCAACCUCGAGACGUCGGUUGAAACCGUACGGCUAGAGUCCGGAAGAGGAGAGUGGAAUUCCCGGUGUAGCGGUGAAAUGCGCAGAUAUCAGGAGGAACACCGGUGGCGAAGGCGGGGUCUCUGGGCCGAUAUUGACGCUGAGGAGCGAAAAGCGUGGGGAGCGAACAGG
rnacentral:rRNA from 1 species